rfam:Mucilaginibacter mallensis strain MP1X4 genome assembly, chromosome: I
GGGGUCGACCGGAAUUGACAGGAUGGAGAUAAGUAAGUAAGCAUGCAGCGCGUUGGGUGAAUUAGCGCUUAAAUCUGAACGCUCAAACUUACAAAUGGCGAAAAUACUUACGCCUUAGCUGCUUAAUUUAGAAUUUAGCAAGCUUUUGUCCCGCCGGUUUUCCGUUUCAUCGGAUCGGCACCAGGGGCAUCGAAAGAUGAAAAUAGCCUGCUUAAUGGUGUGCAUAGCUGGCGAAACAAAGCACCUAAGGAAGACGGUACAGGCAAGCAACUGGCCUUCCCCUUCCCUACAAUUAAACAGAAGCUAAGCAUGUAGAAAGCUUACCUUAUACCAUGUUUGGACGAGGGUUCGAAUCCCUCCGGCUCCACCC